rnacentral:lncRNA from 1 species
AAGCAUCAGUGCAUCGAGGCCUACGUAUAGCAACUGUCAGUGCGACGAUCAGUCAAGGAUUGCAAAAAAGCUCUUCUCCCUCUUCUCCUCUAGCUCACCCACGGCCAAAGCAUGGAAAAAGAUGAAGAUAUUUCAAAUUUUGGCUAUUUAUAGAUUGGUCAAAAACGCGGCAAAACAAAUAUUUCCCGAUUCCGAUUUUUCCUGUGCAAUACUCCGUGAAUUCUGAGUGGGUUUCCGAUGUCAAGUUUCCAGAACUUGAAUCA